AGGUUCCACAGACUGGUCUCCUCUGAGCUUCAUCAUGUUGACUCUGAGGAUCACAGUACUGAUCAUGAUGGUUGGAAUCACUGCUGAUAUCAUCAGAACCAGAGGAAGCAAAAAGCCACAGAAAGACAUUAAUGUUUAUGAUGCUGUUGGGGACGGCAUAGUGCACUAUGAAAAUGAAGAAUGUUCUGCUGCUGCCACAAUCAGCUGAGCUUUAUCGCAUCAAUAAAGUUUAUGCUUCUACAUACAGAAACUGUUUUACAGAAAGUUUUAACAGAAACAAUGCUUCUUUUGAUUUUA